CCCGUGCCCGCCAUGUUCCCCUCAGCGCUCCUACCAGAAUGUCGCCUCUCCUCGAGCAAACGGCCCCUUCCCGCCGCCUGCAAGGUCAUAUGGAGCUGUUGAGAAAUCUCCAAAGGAGUCUGAAGUUGCAGAGGGUCAGAAAAUAAGAUCAAAGAAGACUAAUCAAGAUCAUCAUCAGUUUUGUGAUCUGGGUGUCUGUUUAUUAGAAACUGGACUGAAAUAAACAAGGCAAACGUAAGCAUUAUUUUAUAGAAGACAAGUAAGUUAGAGACAAGAAAGACACGUUCAUCAUUAAAAGCUGCUCCACAGCGUGAAUUUCUUCACUCUGUAAGUCACUCACAAAUAUCAUGCUUUUUUCGUGGGGUUGGAGGGGGGCAGGAGAAGGGGAAGCAAGAUUUUUCCGUGAGACAUUCUGAGGCUGGGAACAAAACACUCAGAAGUUCCUUGCACACAGUCUGCUUUGCACAGUAAACCAGUGAAGCUUAAUGUAUACUAUAUGAAAUGUUCUGUGGAGAUGAGCAACAAGUUACAAAUUUUUUUUCCUAUCUGUAAUGCAGACAUCAAGUUUCCAACACCGUUUGUGCUCAGGUCAUGUGAAAUGUUCUGUCCUGAGUACCUGAAUCCUCAGAGGACUGCAUGUGAACUUGCAUAACUGUGAGAAGUGUCACGAUGAUCAAACACGUAAGAGAUAGAAUUUUCAAAUAUAUAGAUAUAUAUGCCUACAAAAAUAUACAGAAAUCUAGCAAUAUUUGCAGGAUGCAAUUUUUGGGGGUAGUUUCCCAGUAUACUUUCAUUCCAUAACAUACAGGCUGGAUGCAUUGCCACAAAGCCAUGUUGGCUGAGCAUUCCACGCAGAAACCACCCGCCUGCCAAAGCUCUACUUUGACAGACAGCACCUACAAUUUGUCUGACAAACAAGCAAACCACCUAAACUUAACGUUACCGAGCAGAAUCCUAUGCAACGAUUAAACUGGUUGCGAGGGGUUCAGUGCACAUCGGAAUUAAAAUGUUUCAUGUGGAAUAAGGAAGGGGGUAACACCAUGGGCCUCGGGGGCUGUGAGGCCCACACCUCGUACUUCUCACAGGCCGGCCCACAAACCCUCUCCGACGGGGGGCAAAACGAAAGCAGCCGCUUUCUGGGGUCUCCGAGAGCCACUCGCCCUGAGGGACAAGUUGUAUUUGUCAAGACA